rnacentral:rRNA from 1 species
UACGUAGGGUGCGAGCGUUUGUCCGGAAUUAUUGGGCGUAAAGGGCUCGUAGGCGGUUUGUCGCGUCGGGAGUGAAAUCCACUGGCUUAACUGGUGGCUUGCUUUCGAUACGGGCAGACUGGAGGUAUGCAGGGGAGAACGGAAUUCCUGGUGUAGCGGUGAAAUGCGCAGAUAUCAGGAGGAACACCGGUGGCGAAGGCGGUUCUCUGGGCAUGUCCUGACGCUGAGACGCGAAAGCGUGGGGAGCGAACAGG